AUCAGAUACCGUCGUAGUCUUAACCAUAAACGAUGCCGACCAGCGAUUAGGAGACGUUGAAUACAAAACACCACCAUCGGUGCGGUCGUCCUUGGCGUCUCGGUCCUUCACGGGGCCGGGGCGCGGGGGCGGCUUAGCCCGGUGGCNCNGGUGAAUGACUCCCCUAGCAGCUUGUGAGAAAUCAUAAGUCUUUGGGUUCCGGGGGGAGUAUGGUCGCAAGGCUGAAACUUAAAGGAAUUGACGGAAGGGCACCACCAGGAGUGGAGCCUGCGGCUUAAUUUGACUCAACACGGGGAAACUUACCAGGUCCGGACAUAGUAAGGAUUGACAGAUU
rnacentral:rRNA from 1 species